UACAGAGGGGGCUAGCGUUGCUCGGAAUUACUGGGCGUAAAGGGCGCGUAGGCGGCGAUGUUAGUCAGGCGUGAAAGCCCUGGGCUCAACCUGGGGACUGCGCUUGAUACGGCAUGGCUAGAGGAUGGAAGAGGGUCGCGGAAUUCCCAGUGUAGAGGUGAAAUUCGUAGAUAUUCGCAAGAACACCAGUGGCGAAGGCGGCUCACUGGCCCGAUACUGACGCUGAGGCACGAAAGCGUGGGGAGCAAACAGG
rnacentral:rRNA from 1 species